CAAUUAAAGAGCCAACCUUUCGUCAUUUUCUCUUGCACAGUUAUCCCCAAAUUAGAGAAAACCCUUUUCGACGAAAAAUUGGUUCGAAGUCCAGAUUCCAUCCUGAAUAAGAAGUCAGUGAUUAAUUUAGCAAUCGUCUCCAUCUUUGGGUUUCUCAGCUCUAGUUAAUCUCGCGGUUGGGUUUUUUUCCUUUUUAGCCAUAAGACGGAAGCUGCACCGCAUGUAAAUCGACCAUCUCCAAGGCCAUCCAUCGCCUCCAGCGAAAUAUCGCAACAAACAUUAUUGCUCGGUGGUUGUAGUCUACUGUAGCGUAAUACAUGGUUUGUGUGUAGUAUGCCAAGAAAGAACUCUGGAAUAUGUCAUAGCUGUCGAGAGAAGAGUCACUUCUUUGCUGAUUGUGUGAAAAAAAAACGAUGCCCUCGGUGUAAAAUUGGUUUUGUGAAGUGCUUUGAGGUCGAGAGGGAAACGAAGAACAGGAGAAAAUUGUUCAAUUGCUGCAUUGCUAACUGUAAAUAUUAGGAAUUGCUCGACCUUGAAGAAUCAAGUGCUGGAUCAAGUAGCAUUACUGUAAACUCGAAUAAUCAUGCGGCUACGGAAGAAGUUCAACACUUCUCUGACUUGUUCCAAUCUUUUUGUCGGGUAGCCGAAGAAAAAAAUAUUGAAAUUGCAUUGAACAUGACUAUAUGCAAGGCCAGCGGAAGUGCGGAAGUGGAUAAGAAAGGGAAGGGACCAGCAUGAUUAGUAGUUAUGUUGUCAAUAAGUGUCGUUCCCUGCUACUUUUGAUGUGUAAUAUGUGUUCUGUCUAGUGUAGCUGGUGAACUGUAAGAAUGCCGAUGUUCAUUUUGGUGAAUGUAACAUGUUGGUCUGAUGAUGAAAGCAACUAUAUCAAGGAUGUUGGUCUGAGGAAUGAAACUAAGUUAUGUUCUUGACGCUAGUGUAUGACAGGAAUUUAAUGUAUAAACUUUUAUGCAAGUCAUCCGAAUUGAAUAAUAAUCAGAGAACUUAUAUGUUUCCAA